UGAGCAAUCUGCCCUUCUCUUCGGAAUAAGCGUGGGAAACCGCGUCUAAUGCCGAAUACGACCUCCUUUCGCAUGAUCGGAGGUGGAAAGCUCCGGCGGAGAAGGAUGAGCUCGCGGCCUAUCAGCUAGUUGGUGUGGGUAACGCCCACCAAGGCGACGACGGGUAGCCGGCCUGAGAGGGUGACCGGCCACACGUGGGACUGAGACACGGCCCAGACUCCGUACGGGAGGCAGCAGGG
rnacentral:rRNA from 1 species